AGUGUUUGAUCCUGGCACAGAAUGAAUGCUAGUAACAUGCUUAACACAUGCAAGUCGAAUGUUUUAGAAACAUGGCGAACGGGUGAGUAAUACGUGGGCAUCUACUCUAUGGUCUGGAAUAAUCGUAUCAUCUAUAUGAUAAUUAUUUUGAUUCUUCAAGAUAAGCGAAAAUACCAGAUAACCAAAGAUUUUUUUUCGCCAUAGAAUGAACCUUCGCAAGAUUAGGUAGUUGGUAAGGUAACUGCUUACCAAGCCGAAGAUCUUUAGCUGGUCUGAGAGGAUGAUCAGCCACACUGGGACUGAGACACGGCCCAGACUCCUUCGGGAGGCAGCAGUGAGGAAUAUUGGACAAUGGGCGAAAGCCUGAUCCAGCAAUGUUACGUGAGUGAAGAAAGCUAUUUUGGUUGUAAAGCUCUUUCAAUGAGGAGGAUAAUGACGUUACUCAUAAAAGAAGUCCCGGCUAACUCCGUGCCAGCAGCCGCGGUAAUACGGGGGGGACAAGUGUUAUUCGAAAUGACUGGGCGUAAAGGGUCCGUAGGUGGUUAAUUAAGUUGAUAAGUAAAGAUUAGAGCUUAACUUUAAGACACUUUUCAAAACUGAUUAACUAGAGUUUGGGAGAGGAUAGUAGAAUUUUCAGAGUAGGGCUAAAAUCCAAAGAUACUGAAAGGAAUAUCAGGAGCGAAGGCGACUAUCUGGAACAAUACUGACACUGAGGGACGAAAGCAUGGGUAGCAAACAGGAUUAGAUACCCUGGUAGUCCAUAGCUGUAAACGAUGAGUGCUCGUGUUUAGGAACUUUCCUAGGCACUUAGCUAACGCGUUAAGCACUCCGCCUGGGGAGUACGACCGCAAGGUUGAAACUCAAAGGAAUUGACGGGGGCUCACACAAGCGGUGGAGCAUGUGGUUUAAUUCGAUAAUACGCGCGAAACCUUACCAGUUCUUGACAUAUAAGUUGUCUGUAUUGAAAAAUAUAGACUUAAGCUUAUACAGGUGUUGCAUGGCUGUCGUCAGCUCGUGUUGUGAAAUGUUUGGU
rnacentral:rRNA from 1 species